rnacentral:rRNA from 1 species
CGGGGUGGAGUAAUGUCUGGGAAACUGCCUGAUGGAGGGGGGUAACUGCGGGAAACGGUAGCUAAUACCGCAUACGUCGCAAGACCAAAGAGGGGGACCUUCGGGCCUCUUGCCAUCGGAUGUGCCCAGAUGGGAUUAGCUAGUAGGUGGGGUAACGGCUCACCUAGGCGACGAUCCCUAGCUGGUCUGAGAGGAUGACCAGCCACACUGGAACUGAGACACGGUCCAG